GACGAACGCUGGCGGCGUGCUUAACACAUGCAAGUCGAACGAAGUGGCGAACGGGUGAGUAACGCGUAAUCAACCUGCCCUUCAGAGGGGGACAACAGUUGGAAACGACUGCUAAUCCCGCAUACUGAAGGAGGGGAUUGCGUUGGAUUAGCUGGUUGGUGGGGUAAAGGCCUACCAAGGCGACGAUCAGUAGCGGGUCUGAGAGGAUGAUCAGCCACACUGGGACUGAGACACGGCCCAGACUCCUACGGGAGGCAGCAGUGGGGAAUAUUGGACAAUGGGCGAAAGCCUGAUGCAGCCAUGCCGCGUGUCUGAAGAAGGCCUUCGGGUUGUAAAGGACUUUUGUCAGGGAAGCGGUACCUGAAGAAUAAGCACCGGCUAACUACGUGCCAGCAGCCGCGGUAAUUC
rnacentral:rRNA from 1 species